UACGUAGGGUGCAAGCGUUGUCCGGAAUUAUUGGGCGUAAAGAGCUCGUAGGCGGUUUGUCGCGUCUGCUGUGAAACUGGAGGCUCAACCUCCAGCCUGCAGUGGGUACGGGCAGACUAGAGUGCGGUAGGGGAGAUUGGAAUUCCUGGUGUAGCGGUGGAAUGCGCAGAUAUCAGGAGGAACACCGAUGGCGAAGGCAGAUCUCUGGGCCGUAACUGACGCUGAGGAGACGAAAGCGUGGGGAGCGAACAGG
rnacentral:rRNA from 1 species